UGGGGAAUAUUGCACAAUGGAGGGAACUCUGAUGCAGCGACGCCGCGUGAACGAAGAAGGCUUUCGAGUCGUAAAGUUCUUUUAUAUGGGAAGAUAAUGACGGUACCAUAAGAAAAAGCCCCGGCUAACUACGUGCCAGCAGCCGCGGUAAUACGUAGGGGGCUAGCGUUGUCCGGAAUCACUGGGCGUAAAGGGUUCGCAGGCGGAAAUGCAAGUCAGGUGUAAAAGGCAGUAGCUUAACUACUGUAAGCAUUUGAAACUGCAUAUCUUGAGAAGAGUAGAGGUAAGUGGAAUUUUUAGUGUAGCGGUGAAAUGCGUAGAUAUUAAAAAGAAUACCGGUGGCGAAGGCGACUUGCUGGACUUCAACUGACGCUGAGGAACGAAAGCGUGGGUAGCAAACAGG
rnacentral:rRNA from 1 species